UUAGAGCACGGACAGUUGAGCUGGGACUCGAGGGCAAGGAGGUGACGCAGAGGCAGCGGCAGCAAAAAAGGACCCGAACGGAGGCGCGGCAGAGGGCAGAAAGACGGGCCGCGAAUAGAGCCGGACUUUGAUCCUGUGCCACGGAGAGGACGUAGCGGAGGUCGGGCAGGAGGAGAGGUACAAGACGGCUCUCUACUGCAGGGUCUAUUGAGAGAGUCUAGCGCAGAGCGACGAGGUGCUGCAGCGCGGAGAACUGCCAGUGGGCUGGUGGAGGAGAGACGGACGGCACGGUGGGGAGUGCUGCGCCAAGAGGAUGGACAUCGAAUCCAGGUGACGGUAUCCUGAGAAGAGCUGAAAGACAAAGUAGAACGCAAGGUGUGCUAUCUUCACAAGAUGAAAAUCAGCAUAUAAAAGGACCCUCUGUGAACAAUUGGGAGUACCGCCUAUGGAAGAAGUAACUGGAUGUUACGAAACGCGUCUAGGACUCCCUGAUUAAGUGAUUGCUGAAUAGUUCAGACCUUCGCCCGGCAUUUCCAGAACACUCGGCACCUGUUACCAGCAAACCGUGGAAGUUACUAUCACUCGGUGCCGGAGAGAACAGUGUUUCCUGGAAGCCGGAGCGGCUGUACGGCUGACCGCUCGAGCGGGUUUUAGCAACAGUGUUAGCCCGCUCGUUGGAACUGUCGGGCUGCCCGUACUGAAACCUCCCAUCAGUGUGAUUCAUCCUGCCAUACGGACAGAAGCCGCCAACUCAUUUGCACCACACCGCUACGAUCCACAGGUAACAGUUGUUUAUUACACUGUGCAAUCCCGGGGACGCUCGGGCCACACUUAAAGCUCCUCAAACUGGCAAACAGGUCCCGUAUUAUAAGCACAAGGGACAGAGUGAGCAAAGGUACCUGUGACUCUUUACAUUUGUGGUACACAGUCUUUGGACAAAAAUAUCAGUGUCCUCUGGACUCUAUCAUUGGGUGCAAAUUAAUACGGAGGAUCCUAUUACGGACUGAACUUGUGGCAUAAUUUUUUGCCAGUCUGGACAUUUUACUAUUCAGCACACUUAUUUUUAUGAAAGAGAACCAUCUUUUUAUAAUUGUUAUGUAGUUGAGGGUGUUGUGACCACACCAGAUCUUAA